UAGAGAGAAAGGUGCAGGAAACCACAGGAUCUAUCCCCUCCUUCUGAAACAUCGUGACCACACACCAUGCAGGCUGGAGGACCCCUCUUGAGGCCAGAAGGACCAAGGCCACAGGGUGGGGUUCCUUUCCUCUUGUCUUGGGGCAUCUGAGAUCCUUCCUGUCCUCAAGGCACAGAGACCUUUUCGGGGGGGAGAACUGCAUAAACACCCUGGUCUAAGUCAGGGUGGUGAGUGCAACAGAAGAAUUUAAAACUCAGUCCUGAGGGGAUAAAGGAGGCACCUUAUGCAGCUGAGCCCCGUGUGAGCAGGGCACCAAGACAGACUCUCUAAGGAGAGGCCUUCUGACCUGAGAGUUCAGGGAGCACUGGAGCGGAGGUGACAAAGAGAUAAACAACCAAACAUGUACGACUCUGAUGUUUUUGACACCAGUAAAGCAUGUCACUGAGGGAACAAGUACAUAAAAACUUCAGCUGCUGUGCUGCCAUCCGCUCCAGCAAGGAAGACCAACUCUUAAUGCCUACUUAAGAAAAUUAUUGGUGAACACAGAAAGAAAAAACAUCCCCACACCACAUAUGGCAAGUGGUAUCAGUCCUCUGAAAAUAAAUGUUGCUCAGAUACAAAGAGGUAACGACUGGUGAUCAUAUUUAAG